AACGAACGCUGGCGGCACGUUUUAAGCAUGCAAGUCGAAUGGCAGUGGGGGCAACCCCAUGAGAAUGGCGAACGGGUGAGUAACACGUAGGUGAUCUGCCUGACGGAUGGGGAUAGCUUGUGGAAACACAGGGUAAUACCGAAUGAGCUGACGAGACUUUGGUUUUGUUAGUAAAGGUGCUACGGCACCGCCGACAGAUGAGCCUGCGGGUGAUUAGCUAGUUGGUGGGGGAAAGGCCUACCAAGGCGACGAUCAGUAGCCGGCCUGAGAGGGUGUACGGCCACACUGGAACUGAGACACGGUCCAGACUCCUACGGGAGGCAGCAGCUAAGAAUCUUCCGCAAUGGGCGAAAGCCUGACGGAGCGAUGCCGCGUGAUCGAUGAAGGUCGAGAGAUUGUAAAGAUCUUUUCUACAUGAGGAAUAAGUCUGGGAGGGAAUGCCUGGAUGAUGACGUUAGUGUAGGAAUAAGCCCCGGCUAAUUACGUGCCAGCAGCCGCCGUAA
rnacentral:rRNA from 1 species